UACGUGGGUGGCAAGCGUUGUCCGGAUUUAUUGGGUUUAAAGGGUGCGUAGGCGGCUUAGUAAGUCAGUUCUGAAAUAUCCCGGCUUAACCGGGAGGGUGGGAUUGAUACUGCUGAGCUUGAGUGGAGUCGAGGUAGGCGGAAUUGACGGUGUAGCGGUGAAAUGCUUAGAUAUCGUCAAGAACACCGAUAGUGUAGACAGCUUACUAGACUUCAACUGACGCUGAGGCACGAAAGUGUGGGGAUCAAGCAGG
rnacentral:rRNA from 1 species